GACGAACGCUGGCGGCGUGCUUAACACAUGCAAGUCGAGCGGAAAGGCCCUUCGGGGUACUCGAGCGGCGAACGGGUGAGUAACACGUGGGAACGUGCCUUUUGGUUCGGAACAACUCAGGGAAACUUGAGCUAAAUACCGGAUGUGCCCUUCGGGGGAAAGGAUUUAUCGCCAUUAGAGCGGCCCGCGUCUGAUUAGCUAGUUGGUGGGGUAAAGGCCUACCAAGGCUACGAUCAGUAGCUGGUCUGAGAGGAUGAUCAGCCACAUUGGGACUGAGACACGGCCCAAACUCCUACGGGAGGCAGCAGUGGGGAAUCUUGCGCAAUGGGCGAAAGCCUGACGCAGCCAUGCCGCGUGAAUGAUGAAGGUCUUAGGAUUGUAAAAUUCUUUC
rnacentral:rRNA from 1 species